GACGAACGCUGGCGGCGUGCUUAACACAUGCAAGUCGAGCGGUAAGGCCCUUUCGGGGGUACGACGAGCGGCGAACGGGUGAGUAACACGUGGGUGACCUGCCCUCAGCUCUGGGAGUAAGCCUGGGAAACCGGGUCUAAUACUGGAUAUGACUCCAUGACGCAUGUUGUGGGGUGGAAAGCCUUGUGCGGCUGAGGAUGGGCCCGCGGCCUAUCAGCUUGUUGGUGGGGUGAUGGCCUACCAAGGCGACGACGGGUAGCCGGCCUGAGAGGGCGACCGG
rnacentral:rRNA from 1 species